GGGUCAGUGGGUUGGUCGUGCCACCGGUACGUACUGGUCUCACUGAUUCCUCCUUCCUGAAGAACCGUAAUGCCAUUAAUUUGGUGUUGCGGGGAAACAGGACUGUUACUUUGAAAAAAUUAGAGUGUUUAAAGCAAGCUAACGCUUGAAUACAUUAGCAUGGAGUAAUGAAAUAGGACGAUCGAUCCUAUUUUGUUGGUUUCUAGGAUUGACGUA
rnacentral:rRNA from 1 species